AAAUUUUUCAAAAACAUUUUUUUUAUUUAUAUCAAAUAAUUUAAAAUUCUAUUUUUACUUAAUAUAAUUGGAGAAAAAAAAUAUAUUUACUAGCUUAUUACAACUUAUAUUUUAUUUUUCAAUUACAAAAUUUAACAAAUUUAUAUCCAUAGGAGGGCGUUUUAUACAUAAAUAUGAAAAUAUAUUUUUAGGAAACCAGAAUAAAUAUUGGAUAGCGAUUUUUUUGUAAUUGGGUGUAAAAUGUGAACAACCUAAAAAAAAUUUAAAAAAUAGAGGUUUCUUUGAGAUUUAAUUAAUGAGUAGGUUUAGAAGCGAAAAAUAGUAGAAAGUUUGUAAGGAACAUACAGUUUAGCAAGAAAGUUUAGCAAAACAGUAUUUAGUCAUACCCAUUUAACAUGGACGUUUAAAAUUUAAAUCCGCCCUUCCCCAACCGAAUCUUAUUUUCUUGAUGAUUUAUAUCUUUGUUAUCCAUUACAUCUUGGGCUUUCUCGUCAUAAAUUGAUCAGUGAAUGAUUACAAAUUUUAUCGCAGCCGAACAUUUUGAGCCAUAUAAAUCGAACUAGAAUAUUAAAUUCGAACAUUUUUAUUUCACCAGAAAGUUAAAUAAUGUAUAUAUUAAAUUUUGUUUUUCUUUUUAGGAUCAAUUCGAUUCGUAAAUUCUAUUUGAUAUGAUAAACGUACAAAUCUCUUCAAUAUCGAUAGUGAUCAUUUAAGAUGUUACACUAGGGAAUUUAAACUUAAAAUCAGCCACCUCCCACCCCUUAAAGUAAUUAAAUUAUAACUGAAGUUCUCGGGUAUGGGCUUUUAUUUUAUACAACUCUUCACUUCUUAGCCUAUGUGGCGUUUAAAUAACAGUUCUCGGACUAUUGUGCGUAUAAGUACUUCAGGUUUGCAAAUGUAUGAAGGGCUCUUCAUUCUUUCUCUACCCCUAAAUUAAAUAUCCAAUUUUAUGGAUUAUGAGGAAAACCUAGCGUAGCUCUGUUGCAUGCCAACACUAAAGGGUUUAGAUCCAAUAAGUAGAGAGCGACAGCGACACGACAAAAUACAAAUAUAUGUAGACCUGUGCGCCGGCCGGCCAAUCACGCCGGCGCAAAAAUUUCUUUCUACCUUUUUAUUCUAAUAAUUGGUCAACAUCACUCUUUUAAUUUUUUAAUGUCAAUCAGGAUUUUGAUUAAUUUUUAUUUUCUACUAUUUUAAAAUCUUAAUUAUAUUGACGUCAUUAUAGAAUUCAAUCAAUCGAAAAUUCCAAAAGUUACCAUAAUUUUACAUAUUUUUAAAAUGGAUGCAUCUAUUUUAAAAAUUUAAAUAUUUUAGUAUCCUAACUCUGGAUAAUAAAAAAUCCAUAGUCUGGAAAUUUUUUGCAAAAGAAUUAGAGAAAUUAUUAUUGCUCUAAGAUAUUAAACUGCAGAGGUUGAAUUUGAAUUCGAGGAAUAUCAAAGAAAAUGUCUAAGUACAAUAGAUUUAACAUCAGACAUGUUAGAUCUUGACAGCAUUGAUCCAUACUCGGAUACCCGUUUUCAAAUUGGCAAUUCCAAUUAUAAUAAUAACACACGCAUAUGAUAACCUUAAAAUUAAAUAUCCCAACAUGUUGGCAUAGUAUAUUAAUUAUGCUAGCAUAUCUGGAUUAAAUAAGAAUUUAAUUAAUAAUGUUUUGAAAAGAAUUGAGAAGCACUUUCUCAAAUUAUCUAAUUAUGAAUCUGAUCUGGUAGAAGAACUAUUAGCAUUUCUUUCAAAAUUUAAAGUAACUGUCGAAUUUCUUUCAGUACAAAAAUGGCGUACUAUAAACUUGGCGUUACUUUUUAGAAGUGAAAUUGAAACACAUUUAAUAGUAAAUGAUAGUGAUAGUUCUGAAAUUAUUUCACUUAAGGAAAAUAUGCUAAAAAAACUUGCGUUACGAUUUCCGGUUUGUAAUCUGCAAGUAAUUUUAUAUAAGUAUAUUCUUUCAUUUUUUAUUUAAAAUUAUCUAGGUAUUGGCUUCUCUUUUAGAUCCAAAAUUUUAAAAAUUGACAAUUGUGUCAAAGUAUUUAAUAGAGCAAAAUUGCUCAGCUCUACAGAAUUUAUAAUAAAACAUCUUAAACUUAUAGAGAAUGAUGAUAAUCAGGUAGUAAACAUAGCUAAUGAGGAUGAAGAUGAAUUAUUAAAUUCAAGUCAUUUGACAAAAUUGGCAAAUAAACAUUCAACAAAUAUAAAUUAUGAUUCCAAGUUAGGUGACUUAGAACAAGAAUGCCACAGUUUUCUUGGAAAACGACAUUCACAAGAUAUGUACGUUCUCAAUUUUUGGAGAUAAAAGAAGAGUGAACUUCCCAAUCUUUCCAGGCUCGCCAAAAAAUUAUUUGCAUUACGGCGACUAGCACACCUAGUGAAAGAGUUUACUCUACCGCUGAAUUGACGUUAAAUUCAAGGAGACUAUCAUUAUGUUCCAAAAAUUUUAAUAAAAUAAUUUUUAUAACAUGAAAUCGAUUUUGAAUAUAAUAAGUUUUCUAUUAAUGAAUAUUCAAAAAUAUGCCGAGAUAUCUGUAGAAUAGUGUAUAUUUUUUUUUUUUAAAUUAAUAAACAAUUAAAAAAAUUUAUCUUAUAAAAAUUUAUAAAUGUGCCAAUUUUAUUGACGGCGGCUAAAAUCGGCGCACCGCCGGCCGUUGAUUAGAUUUUUUAAUUGCGCCGGCCGCCAAUAUUUCGUCGGCGCACAGGUCUAAAUAUAUGUAACUACCAAUGACUAUUCAUAGUGAGCUUUUGCGACGCGACACGACAAUCCCGCCACAUUUGUUCGCAUUAAACAUAAAAAUCAAGUUACAAAUCAUUUUGUUUUCCAUGCGACAUAACAACAAUAUGGCCCGAAAAAGAAAAUUUGCAAAAAAUCAAUAAAGAUUUCAUCAACUCAAUCAGAUACCAUCAGCUGAAAACAAUAUUGAGACAGUAAAGAUGGCCAAAUUAGUGUGGAAAAAUCCAAUUUUAAGGAAUGAUUCAUUAUCAACUAGUAUAGGAUCAAAUUUAUCUUGCAAAAAAUUAAUUAAAAAGAGGGAUAUUGAUCAAGAUCUAUUUGAGAAAAUUCUUGAAAUAUAAAAAAUAAAAGAAAAUACAUUAUCAACAAACUCUUGGAUCAAUGUUAUCAAAAAGAUUUGAAAGUGGAAAGAAAAAACUUAUUAAAUUUUUUUUGAUAUUUUGUUAUUAUGAAAGUGAUAAUGAAUAAAAAAUAUUAUAUUGCA